rnacentral:rRNA from 1 species
AAAUUGAAGAGUUUGAUCAUGGCUCAGAUUGAACGCUGGCGGCAGGCCUAACACAUGCAAGUCGAACGGUAACAGGAAGCAGCUUGCUGCUUUGCUGACGAGUGGCGGACGGGUGAGUAAUGUCUGGGAAACUGCCUGAUGGAGGGGGAUAACUACUGGAAACGGUGGCUAAUACCGCAUAACGUCGCAAGACCAAAGAGGGGGACCUUCGGGCCUCUUGCCAUCAGAUGUGCCCAGAUGGGAUUAGCUUGUUGGUGAGGUAACGGCUCACCAAGGCGACGAUCCCUAGCUGGUCUGAGAGGAUGACCAGCCACACUGGAACUGAGACACGGUCCAGACUCCUACGGGAGGCAGCAGUGGGGAAUAUUGCACAAUGGGCGCAAGCCUGAUGCAGCCAUGCCGCGUGUAUGAAGAAGGCCUUCGGGUUGUAAAGUACUUUCAGCGGGGAGGAAGGUGUUGUGGUUAAUAACCGCAGCAAUUGACGUUACCCGCAGAAGAAGCACCGGCUAACUCCGUGCCAGCAGCCGCGGUAAUACGGAGGGUGCAAGCGUUAAUCGGAAUUACUGGGCGUAAAGCGCACGCAGGCGGUCUGUCAAGUCGGAUGUGAAAUCCCCGGGCUCAACCUGGGAACUGCAUUCGAAACUGGCAGGCUUGAGUCUUGUAGAGGGGGGUAGAAUUCCAGGUGUAGCGGUGAAAUGCGUAGAGAUCUGGAGGAAUACCGGUGGCGAAGGCGGCCCCCUGGACAAAGACUGACGCUCAGGUGCGAAAGCGUGGGGAGCAAACAGGAUUAGAUACCCUGGUAGUCCACGCCGUAAACGAUGUCUACUUGGAGGUUGUGCCCUUGAGGCGUGGCUUCCGGAGCUAACGCGUUAAGUAGACCGCCUGGGGAGUACGGCCGCAAGGUUAAAACUCAAAUGAAUUGACGGGGGCCCGCACAAGCGGUGGAGCAUGUGGUUUAAUUCGAUGCAACGCGAAGAACCUUACCUGGUCUUGACAUCCACAGAACUUUCCAGAGAUGGAUUGGUGCCUUCGGGAACUGUGAGACAGGUGCUGCAUGGCUGUCGUCAGCUCGUGUUGUGAAAUGUUGGGUUAAGUCCCGCAACGAGCGCAACCCUUAUCCUUUGUUGCCAGCGGUCCGGCCGGGAACUCAAAGGAGACUGCCAGUGAUAAACUGGAGGAAGGUGGGGAUGACGUCAAGUCAUCAUGGCCCUUACGACCAGGGCUACACACGUGCUACAAUGGCGCAUACAAAGAGAAGCGACCUCGCGAGAGCAAGCGGACCUCAUAAAGUGCGUCGUAGUCCGGAUUGGAGUCUGCAACUCGACUCCAUGAAGUCGGAAUCGCUAGUAAUCGUGGAUCAGAAUGCCACGGUGAAUACGUUCCCGGGCCUUGUACACACCGCCCGUCACACCAUGGGAGUGGGUUGCAAAAGAAGUAGGUAGCUUAACCUUCGGGAGGGCGCUUACCACUUUGUGAUUCAUGACUGGGGUGAAGUCGUAACAAGGUAACCGUAGGGGAACCUGCGGUUGGAUCACCUCCUUACCUUAAAG